UACAGAGGGUGCAAACGUUGUCCGGAAUUAUUGGGCGUAAAGAGCUCGUAGGCGGCUUGUCACGUCGGGUGUGAAAGACCGGGGCUUAACCCCGGUUCUGCAUUCGAUACGGGCUGGCUAGAGUGUGGUAGGGGAGAUCGGAAUUCCUGGUGUAGCGGUGAAAUGCGCAGAUAUCAGGAGGAACACCGGUGGCGAAGGCGGAUCUCUGGGCCAUUACUGACGCUGAGGAGCGAAAGCGUGGGGAGCGAACAGG
rnacentral:rRNA from 1 species